rnacentral:rRNA from 1 species
GCCAGCAAACACAUCACCUGCAGUUCAAACUACGUAAUCCAUUUGAAGUUAAGCAGGUUUGAACGUGGCCAGUACUUGAACGGGAGACCAACUAGGAAAGGUGGGUUGCUGCUGGAA